GGAGGAUGGGCCUCGGGAUGGCGGGGAAGGGCGCCCUGCGUCCGGCAGAGGAGGCGAGCAUCCCGCUCAGGUGAUGAGGAACCCCUCGCGCACCCAGCGCAGAAGGCUGCUGCCGCCGGACGCCUCCAUUGUUUGACCACAACAAGGGCCGGAUUCUCACCCAGCAGGAUCCUAAGGCCUUUGUAGUCCUUCAGCCACUGUGGGCCCUGCCUCUGCCUGUUCUUCUGGAAUGUCUUGGGGGUUUUGAUCCUGUCACUGUGACCUGCAAAUCCAAGAGACACAUCUUUGGAAGAUAAGAGAGCUUCUUCAAGACCAAAAAAGGAGACGGCAUGAUACCCAUGUAGGGAAUUCCCCAAAGCAGGGCUUGCCAUACCUGGACCCCGAGGAGCCUGCUUGCUGGAAAGGCUUUCCUGUCUGAUGUGCAGGAGGCAGAAUGCCAAACUGACUCUUCAAGGGGCAACUGCAGGGGCUCGAGACCAGCCAGCAGUAUCUCAUCCUUCGAUACAGGGGAUAUACUGUACAGUCCUUUUUCUAGAAGUGAGACAUACAAGAUUACUCUACAAGAGGAAGAUUCCAGGGGCUCAAAAACGCAAAGGUUUGCACUUUGAGAGCCCCUUGGAAUGUUGACAACUCAGGAUCUAAAACAAAGUUCUGUGUUAAUGAGUUACAGAAUUCACGUGGAAGUCAAUGUCACUUUAUAAUCGAUAAUAAUACUGAGUGAGGAACACUAUGCAGGAAGAAACCUUCCGUAGAAAGACAGGCAGGGAAAAGCUUAGGCUGACCUUAAACUUACCUAAUAGAGCAAGCCUGAGAUAGACUGCCAAAAUGGCCAAAUAAGAGACUCUAUGAAAUAACAGUCUUGUAACUGUAGUAAUCAUAAGGAAAUUUUCUCCUUGAAAUCACGAUACC
rnacentral:lncRNA from 1 species